rnacentral:rRNA from 1 species
UACAGAGACUGCGAGCGUUAUUCGGAUUCACUGGGCGUAAAGGGUGCGCAGGUGGCUAGGUGUGUUAGGCGUGAAAGCCCGGGGUUUAACCCCGGAAUUGCACCUAAAACUACUUGGCUAGAGCAUUGGAGAGGGGAGCAGAAUUCAUGGUGUAGCAGUGAAAUGCGUAGAUAUCAUGAGGAAUACCAGAGGCGAAGGCGGCUCCCUGGACAAUUGCUGACACUCAGGCACGAAAGCGUGGGGAGCAAAAGGG